UUACGAUUCACCCUGAAAUAUAUUUCUUCCCGCCCAUCACAAAAUCCCAAACUUCUUUUAUCUUUUGAAACCUACCCCAAAAUUAAACAUGACGACCUUUCUUUUUGAAACCAAAGAUCCAGCAGAGAGCAAGGCAAUCUUCCCAAUCGCUGUGCGGGUACACUGUCAUGCCGACGUGAAGGAAUCUUCAAGUCAAAGCCAGAGACGCCGACUGCAAUCCCGAUAGUCAAUAAAACAAAACGCGACGAAAAGGAAAAAUGAAAUGACAAAAAUGCCCUUGGCAGCUUGAACAGAUAUGGAUGGAGUUAAGUCAGUUGGACCAAAAUGGCAACGAUGAAACCUUUUUGAAUCCAGAUGUUAAAAAUGAAACCUUUGGACUGAACUGGCAAAAUUGGCCAAACCAAAGGGACUAAAAUGGCAAUUUACUCUUUUAGAAAAGAGUUUGCUUUUAAGUAGAAUACAUUUAUUGUUUUCAUUUUGCUUUUUCUGUCAGAUAACAAACAUCAUAUAUUUAUGUGGUAUGUUUAAGUCUACCUCUGUAUUCUUUUGUUUCUGCUAUUUAAUUUAUUAAUAUUUUCACUUGUUAUAUCAACACGAUUUAUGUUACUAAUAGUAGUAGUAUCAGCAGAUAAUGUGAACUACUCUAUUACUGUUAUUGUACCAUCAUGUGAUUAUAUUAUUGUUGCUUCAUUAAAACAAGUCAUAUUAAAGGAAAUAAGUGGUAAACUAGAAACCUUAGUUGAAUCACAUAAUGGGCUCUGGAUUCUUAUUUCGAUUGAGCCACCCAUAUCUCUAAUCCUCAACCAGCACCACGUCUUUGUUCUAGAAUAAGAUGGUUGUGGUCUGCUAUCGUUAUGAAUAAGAUGGUAGAGAAGGUUGCUGAUUUUGAAAAACCCUCACUUUGAAGCCUGUUUUUUGUGAUGGUGUUAUUGAUCCUAACGCCUACCAAUGAAAUCUGAUUAGUUAAGUGGGAUACCCCAUUUGAAUAAUGCUAGGAAACACAAGUACCUGGAAGCCCUUGAUAG